rnacentral:rRNA from 1 species
GACGAACGCUGGCGGCGUGCCUAAUACAUGCAAGUAGAACGCUGAAGAGAGGAGCUUGCUCUUCUUGGAUGAGUUGCGAACGGGUGAGUAACGCGUAGGUAACCUGCCUUGUAGCGGGGGAUAACUAUUGGAAACGAUAGCUAAUACCGCAUAACAAUGGAUGACACAUGUCAUUUAUUUGAAAGGGGCAAUUGCUUCACUACAAGAUGGACCUGCGUUGUAUUAGCUAGUAGGUGAGGUAAUGGCUCACCUAGGCGACGAUACAUAGCCGACCUGAGAGGGUGAUCGGCCACACUGGGACUGAGACACGGCCCAGACUCCUACGGGAGGCAGCAGUAGGGAAUCUUCGGCAAUGGGGGCAACCCUGACCGAGCAACGCCGCGUGAGUGAAGAAGGUUUUCGGAUCGUAAAGCUCUGUUGUAAGUCAAGAACGGGUGUGAGAGUGGAAAGUUCACACUGUGACGGUAGCUUACCAGAAAGGGACGGCUAACUACGUG